rnacentral:pre_miRNA from 1 species
UUGGCAGAUUUGGAAACUUCAGCUUGCAAACUUAGCGGAUUUGGAGACUUCAGCUUGCAACUUGGUGAAUUUAGAGACUUCAGCU